UUACAAGAGUAAUUAUUACAGCAGACUUUUUAUUUCUAUCCUUACAUUGUCCUGCAAUAAUCUGUACUUUCAACUCCGAACAUU